UGAGUCAGGAGGCCACGGUAGGAUCGCAACUUUGUGCGACAGCUCUCACACCUUCAUAAAAGGGAGGCAAUGUUACAUGACUAAGGAUAUUUUACUAACGUGUACAUGCAUCUCAGCUGCGAGUAAAAAAAAAGACCCACUCACAAGUAGAAGAUGUUGGGUUUGUGAUGAUGUCUCAUGUGUUCCAUCAGUUUCUGCAUGUUAGGGAAGGAACCACUGCAGCCGACGGUGGAGCACAGCAAGAUCUUCCCUAAAGAGAGCACAGUGUUCCCCUAGUGUCAUGUGUUGCACCACAUCUUACAGCUCCUCUUCACACCCGGACCAAAAUUUAUAGCCAGUAAAAAUCAGGGUUAGGUACCGUUCACAUUUGAACCAAUAAUGGUGCCGGUACCUAGAAUUCAGUACCUUUACCCAACACUACUAUUUUUCGUAACUUUACUCUCUCUGUACAACAAAAAAAUGUCCGACCAUGGUUUUUCCUGCAGCAAAUUUCGAGCCACCUCCAUAAGCACAAUGGAUACCGCUUAUAGUGAUCACGUUUGUGCCAUUAUAAACUAACUUAGGUGAAAAUUUUACCAAUUUUCCAAUAUUAACAUUAUAAUCACUCAUAAUGCUGUUACUUUUAUAUAGGGGAUAUCAUACUGAUACACAUGGAGCUGGAAAAAAACUUGGUGAACAGAAAUAAUAGGUGAACAAUUUCUCUGUGACCUAUACUUUCGUUAGCCCAAAUCUCCCUAAAAGGGAUAGUUCACCCAAACAUUUUAAUUCACUCAUUAUCUACUCACCACUAUGUCAUUUAUAUAUAAAUAUAUAUAAGUACAUUCGCUGGUUCCCUUUGAUGUCCCCUCUAGGAAUGGCUCUUGAGAAAUUUCUGUUUACCGUCUCCCACAGUGAGAUGAAAGAUCCGCCCCUGCCUGCCCUGGACAAAUACUUCAUAACGCAAGAGAAAUAAUCCUCUGUGACAUAAAUACUCAUUUAACGCCAGCGUGUCUUUUCGCUGCCCACAACAUAACAGAGAAUCUCACCAGGGAGAGACUGAGCGGGGAUUUCAUGGUCCUGGAUGUGACGGUCCAGGGUGCCGGUGUCUGUGUACACUCUCUUACAGCCGGGAUACGGGCACGACGUCCUCUUGUUCCCUGAAAGAAAUGAACGGUACUUGAACAUGUCGCACAUGCCUGCAACACUGUGCUGCCUGAAGACAUUACAGUCGUAGAGUAGGUGCUCAGAAGUGACGACGAUGGAGGAAGGUGACUCAGACAGCCUGCACCUGUGGAUGUCCAACAUGAGACACAACUGGAAUCCA